ensembl:lncRNA
GUUUGCCUAAAAUAUUUUGUCUUCUUGUAGACAUAAGAAAAAUUAAUUGCUCUGACUUUUUUUUUCUCUGUAAUGUUCUGAUGUCCCGGCAUGCCAAUGCCUGAGAAAACCUAAAUCACAGAAUGAGUAAUAUUCUGUAGCUGAGGACUGGAAUUUUGAUUGCCCAAGGUCAUGGAAGUCUUAUUGCAGCAUAGGAGUCAACCCCAAAUAAACAAACAAUCCAAGCGGCCACCUGACCUCUCCGGAAAAAAAGUCCUUCUCUCUUUAAGGAGUUUAACUUGCCUUCCCUCAAUACAACAGUGAAGAACAAGAAUGCUGAGAUUUCUCCAGGACACACCUGUGCACUGUUGCAGAGCAGCUGAUCUUGGGGAAGGCUGGUUUUGCCACACAGGUGGUGACAGGGCAGUCUCAACAGGCUCCCAACCCAACCAAAUAAAGUCCUGUAAGGUCCGGGAGGCUGUGGAUUGUCUCACAAUGUUCGAUGCGGAGUCUCUGAAACCACGCAUCAAGCAUCAGAGCAAAGAAGAGAAUCUACACUUUCCAGUUCCUGGUUCUGCCCUCUCUAAAGCACUGCAAGAGCGAUCUCCAUGGAGACAAACAUCGAACUCACUCCCUCCAGUUUGUAAAACUGAAUGUGAAUGGCCAUUCCAAAUCGGCUGUCUUAAUCCACUCAGAGCAGCAGGAAGUAUUUAACUGUUCAACAUAUUAAAUGAACAAAAAAAUACAGGCUGUGCCAAUUACCAGGAUGUAGUAGACUUAGUCACAUGAAGAACUCCAGGUCUGGGCAAAGACUUCUUGAGCAAUACCCGACAAGCAGAAGCAACCAAAGAAAACAUGGACAAAUGGGAUCACAUCAAGUUAAGAAGCUUCUGCACAGUAAAGGAUACAAUCAACAAAGUGAAGAGAUGAAUCAUGGAAUAGGAUGUAAUAUUUGCAAACUAACCGUCUGACAAGGGAUUAAUAACCAGAAUAUAUAAGGAGCUCAAACAACUCUAUAGGAAAAAAUCUAAUAAUCUGAUCCAAAAAUGAGCAGAAGAUUUGAAGACACAUUUCUCAAAAUAAGACAUACAAAUAGCAAAGGGACAUAUGAAAAGGUGCUCAACAUCAUUAAUCAUCAGAGAAAUGCAAAUCGUGACUACAAUGCGAUACCAUCUUACUCCCGUUAAAAUAGCUUAUAUCCAAAAGACAGGCAAAAAACAAAUGCUGGCGAGGAUGUGGAGAAAAGGGAACCCUCGUACACUGUUGGUGGGAAUGUAAAUUGGUACAACCACUAUGGAGAACAGUUUGGAGGUUUCUCAAAAACCUAAAAAUUGAACUGCCAUAUGAUUCAGCAAGCCCACUGCUAGGUAUAUACCCAAAAGAAAGGAAAUUAGUCUAUCGAAGAUGUAUCUGCACUCUUAUGUUUGUUGCAGCACUGUUGACAACAGCUAAGAUUUGGAAGCAACCUGUGUCCAUCAACAGAUGAACAAAUACAGAAAAUGUGGUGCAUAUACAAAAUGAACUACCAUUUAGCCAUAAAAAAGAAUAAGAUCCAGUCAUUUGCAACAAUAUGGGUGGAACUGGAGAUCAUUUUGUUAAGUGAAAUAAGCCAGGCACAGAAAGACAAAUAUCACAUGUUCUCACUUAUUUGUGGGAUUUAAAAAUCAAAUCAAUUGAACUCAUGGAGAUAGAGAGUAGAAGGAUGGUUACUAGAGGCUGGGAAGGGUAGUGGGGAGUUUGGGGGAUGGGCCGGGAUGGUUAAUGGGCACAAAAAUGAGAAAGAAUAAAUAAGACCUACUUUUUAAUAGCACAAUAAGGUGACUAUAGUCAAUAAUAACUUACUUGUAUAUUUUGAAAUAAAGAAUGUAAUUUGAUUGUUUGUAAACUAAAGGAUAAAUGCUCGAGAGGAUGGAGAUCCCAUUCUCCCUGAUGUGCUUAUUUCACAUUGCAUGCCUGUACCAAAACAUCUCAUGUACCCCAUAAAUGUAUACACCUACUAUGUACCCACAAAAUUUAAAAAAAAUAAAGAAAACUCCAGUUGUUUAGAUACCUAGAUGUGGCC